rnacentral:tRNA from 4 species
GCCCAGAUAGCUCAGUCGGUAGAGCAAAGGACUGAAAAUCCUUGUGUCGGUGGUUCGAUUCCGCCUCUGGGCACCA